rnacentral:rRNA from 1 species
CCCUUAGAUGUUCUGGGCCGCAUGCGUGCUACACUGAGUGGAUCAGCGGGUCAGGUUACGCGAGAGCGUUUCCUAAUCUUCAAAUCCGCUCGUGAUGGGGAUUGACGGUUGCAAUUUUCCGUCAUGAACGAGGAAUACCUUGUAAGCGCGGGUCAUCAUCCCGCGCUGAAUACGUCCCUGCCCUUUGUACACACCGCCCGUCGCUCCUACCGAUUGAGUGGUCCGGUGAGGCUUUGGGAUCUAAGCGAAAAGAGCGUUUCGCUCCUUUUGCUGGGAGAACUCAGUCGAACCUUAUCAUUUAGAGGAAGGAGAAGUCGUAACA